UCGGCCGUAUCACGUUGCAACACUUGUUCCCGUAGGAUCACCUGAGUUAACCAAGCGUCGAGCCUGGUCAGUACCUAGAUGGGUGACCGCUUGAGAAUACCAGGCGCUGUAAG